rnacentral:misc_RNA from 1 species
UACAAUAUUAGCUCCGAUAG